rnacentral:rRNA from 1 species
AUACGUAGGGGGCGAGCGUUAUCCGGAUUUAUUGGGCGUAAAGCGUGUGUAGGCGGUUUGUUAAGUUUAAGAUUAAAGCCCGAGGCUUAACCUCGGUUCGUCUCAACAACUGGCAGACUUGAGUGCAGUAGAGGCAAGUGGAAUUUCUAGGGUAGCGGUUAAAUGCGUAGAAAUUAGAAGGAACACCAGUGGCGAAGGCGGCUUGCUGGGCUGUUACUGACGCUGAGACACGAAAGCGUGGGGAGCAAAUAGGAUUAGAUACCCUAGUAGUCCACGCCGUAAACGAUGAGUACUAAGUGUCGGGUAACCGGUGCUGAAGUUAACACAUUAAGUACUCCGCCUGAGUAGUACGGUCGCAAGGCUGAAACUCAAAUGAAUUGACGGGG